UUGGGUAUAGGGGGUGGCCUGGGGGCACAACGCUUCGAGGCCGGUGGUUGUAGUGGGGGUGGGGGUGGCUCGAGCCUUACCCUUAGGACCCGAGGCCCCACUUUUGAAGAUUAAAAAUUUAUGUUCGGGGUGAGUGUUCUGAAUUUGUUUCGAGAUUUUUUUCCUUUUGAGUUCAAAUUUCAAAAUUCGUAAGAGCCAGCAUGAAAGCUAUUAUCUGAACUGAUUAUGAUAAAAUAUUUGAUGCAAAAUGUUGAAAAACAAAAACCACAAGGAGAAAUUCAAGAAACAGUAGCCGUAGUAGGUCACAAAAUAUAUAUGAACCAAAGAGUGGACAUACUGCUAAGAACUUGACUUGAACCACAACGCCUCAAGGUGGUGGGAGAGCCUUAAGCCUUACUGAGGUCUCGCUCUUGAGUUUUCCAAUUUUCUCAUUUUAUCCCAUCUUUGAGUUCGUCACUAGUUUAGACUUAGAAAUUAAAAGAAAAUAUUAUGUAUAUAAUCUUUCAAAUCAGCUAAUUGGCUUUGGAGUAGUGAACAGGUUACUACUAUGUGUCCAACGAGGCUGUUCUCUGUGUCGACUCUUUCCCGAGCAUGUAUACACAAAUGCUUUGUGGUCUACUUUGAACUAUUCAUUUUUUUCAACUCAAUUGGCAACAACUUGCUAAAGAUAUCUCAGAGUUUCUGACCCUUCAAUUAGGGACUUCAUCUCCAAAUCAUGAAUUUGCGGUCAUUCAUUAUCAAGGAAUGCGAACAACAGAAUUGGGAAGGGAUUAUUACUAGAAUUUGGCCAAAUACAAAGUACUUGGAUGUGAUUGUGACAGCUAUCAGUAUUUUACACUGGACUCACCACCCCGUCUCGUGGAGUGGGAAAAAAUACAAUCUCGUGAUCACAACCUAUGCUGGUAUAUGUCGUUACAGUGUCGGUGACAUACUCCAAGGCUUCACAACUCUGCCCCUCAAUGUUGAGAAAAUUCAUAAGAAGAGAAAAUGUUCUAUUCACUGUGAAUUACUACCCAACCAAUUCGCCUUAGCCACGAGGCUUUGAACCAAUGUUGUUUGGCUAACUUGGUGCCGAGUUGCAGAUAACUCACUUGAAAUUAGAGUAGUGGUAAACGGUAAUAGACUAUGUAAAUUUCUAGAGGUGCUCUAUAAAUCAGUACAAGGCUUCUACCUAUAGGGUAAUUUCAGAAUGGCAGUGUUUACAUGUCUCUGAUGAUGAAGUCAAUUCUCUUUUUUGUUGUUCUUUUGGUAUUUUUGUGUAGUGUUGAAUACAUCGAGUUGAUCAAUGAAUCGGCAGAUGUAAAUAAAUCAUAACACUCAGCUGAUCAUACGAAAAGUCACCCAUUGAAGUAGCUAGCUACGCAUACUUUAAUAUAAUUUUUGUUUUGUUUGAACAGGAAAGUGUAUGUACAGUCGUUUAAAUCGAGCAUAUAUAAUACAAAUUUUCAAGAUGGAAAA